rnacentral:rRNA from 1 species
GGGUUGUGAGGUUAAGCGACUAAGCGUACACGGUGGAUGCCCUGGCAGUCAGAGGCGAUGAAGGACGUGCUAAUCUGCGAUAAGCGUCGGUGAGGUGAUAUGAACCGUUAUAACCGGCGAUUUCCGAAUGGGGAAACCCAGUGUGUUUCGACACACUAUCAUUAACUGAAUCCAUAGGUUAAUGAGGCGAACCGGGGGAACUGAAACAUCUAAGUACCCCGAGGAAAAGAAAUCAACCGAGAUUCCCCCAGUAGCGGCGAGCGAACGGGGAGGAGCCCAGAGCCUGAAUCAGUGUGUGUGUUAGUGGAAGCGUCUGGAAAGGCGCGCGAUACAGGGUGACAGCCCCGUACACAAAAAUGCACAUAUUGUGAGCUCGAUGAGUAGGGCGGGACACGUGGUAUCCUGUCUGAAUAUGGGGGGACCAUCCUCCAAGGCUAAAUACUCCUGACUGACCGAUAGUGAACCAGUACC